rnacentral:ncRNA from 1 species
AGGAGCCGUAUGAAGCGAAAGUUUCAUGUACGGUUUUGAAUGGGAGUUGUGACAGGUGACUAUCACUUCGACCCCUAAU